GACGAACGCUGGCGGCAUGCCUAACACAUGCAAGUCGAGCGAGCAGAUCCCUUCGGGGUGAAGCUAGCGGCGGACGGGUGAGUAACACGUGGGCAACCUGCCUCAUAGAGGGGAAUAGCCUUCCGAAAGGAAGAUUAAUACCGCAUAAGAUUGUAGCUUCGCAUGAAGACGCAAUUAAAGGAGCAAUCCGCUAUGAGAUGGGCCCGCGGCGCAUUAGCUAGUUGGUGAAGUAACGGCUCACCAAGGCGACGAUGCGUAGCCGAACUGAGAGGGGGAUCCGCCACAUUGGGACUAAGACACGGCCCAGACUCCUACGUGAGGCAGCAGUGGGGAAUAUUGCACAAUGGGGGAAACCCUGAUGCAGCAAUGCCGCGUGAGUGAUGACGGUCUUCGGGUUGUAAAGCUCUGUCUUCGGGGACGAUAAUGACGGUACCCGAGGAGGAAGCCACGGCUAACUACGUGCCAGCCGCCGCGGUAA
rnacentral:rRNA from 1 species